UCAGCUGGCCCUCAUUUC
rnacentral:miRNA from 3 species